AGCGAACGCUGGCGGCAGGCCUAACACAUGCAAGUCGAACGAACUCUUCGGAGUUAGUGGCGGACGGGUGAGUAACACGUGGGAACGUGCCUUUUGGUUCGGAAUAACUCAGGGAAACUUGUGCUAAUACCGAAUGUGCCCUUCGGGGGAAAGAUUUAUCGCCAUUAGAGCGGCCCGCGUCUGAUUAGCUAGUUGGUGAGGUAACGGCUCACCAAGGCGACGAUCAGUAGCUGGUCUGAGAGGAAGACCAGCCACACUGGGACUGAGACACGGCCCAGACUCCUACGGGAGGCAGCAGUGGGGAAUCUUGCGCAAUGGGCGAAAGCCUGACGCAGCCAUGCCGCGUGAAUGAUGAAGGUCUUAGGAUUGUAAAAUUCUUUCACCGGGGACGAUAAUGACGGUACCCGGAGAAGAAGCCCCGGCUAACUUCGUG
rnacentral:rRNA from 1 species